rnacentral:rRNA from 1 species
GACGUAGGGCGCGAGCGUUGUCCGGAUUUAUUGGGCGUAAAGAGCUCGUAGGCGGUUUGUCGCGUCUGCUGUGAAAACCCGAGGCUCAACCUCGGGCCUGCAGUGGGUACGGGCAGACUAGAGUCCGGAAGAGGAGAGUGGAAUUCCUGGUGUAGCGGUGAAAUGCGCAGAUAUCAGGAAGAACACCCGUGGCGAAGGCGGCUCUCUGGGACGGUAC